UACGUAGGGACCAAGCGUUGUUCGGAUUUACUGGGCGUAAAGGGCGCGUAGGCGGCCCGCUAAGUCGAACGUGAAAUCCCCGAGCUCAACUCGGGAACUGCGUCCGAUACUGGCGGGCUUGAAUCCGGGAGAGGGAUGCGGAAUUCCAGGUGUAGCGGUGAAAUGCGUAGAUAUCUGGAGGAACACCGGUGGCGAAGGCGGCAUCCUGGACCGGCAUUGACGCUGAGGCGCGAAAGCCAGGGGAGCAAACGGG
rnacentral:rRNA from 1 species